rnacentral:rRNA from 1 species
GACGAACGCUGGCGGCGUGCUUAACACAUGCAAGUCGAACGGAAAGGCCCUGCUUUUGUGGGGUGCUCGAGUGGCGAACGGGUGAGUAACACGUGAGUAACCUGCCCUUGACUUUGGGAUAACUUCAGGAAACUGGGGCUAAUACCGGAUAGGAGCUCCUGCUGCAUGGUGGGGGUUGGAAAGUUUCGGCGGUUGGGGAUGGACUCGCGGCUUAUCAGCUUGUUGGUGGGGUAGUGGCUUACCAAGGCUUUGACGGGUAGCCGGCCUGAGAGGGUGACCGGCCACAUUGGGACUGAGAUACGGCACAGACUCCUACGGGAGGCAGCAGUGGGGAAUAUUGCACAAUGGGCGGAAGCCUGAUGCAGCAACGCCGCGUGCGGGAUGACGGACUUCGGGUUGUAAACCGCUUUCGCCUGUGACGAAGCGUGAGUGACGGUAAUGGGUAAAGAAGCACCGGCUAACUACGUG